rnacentral:rRNA from 1 species
AUGAACGCUGGCGGCGUGCCUAAUCCAUGCCAGUCGCGCGAACAGACGAGGAGCUUGCUCCUCUGACGUUAGCGGCGGACGGGUGAGUAACACGUGGAUAACCUACCUAUAAGACUGGGAUAACUUCGGGAAACCGGAGCUAAUACCGGAUAAUAUAUUGAACCGCAUGGUUCAAUAGUGAAAGACGGUUUUGCUGUCACUUAUAGAUGGAUCCGCGCCGCAUUAGCUAGUUGGUAAGGUAACGGCUUACCAAGGCAACGAUGCGUAGCCGACCUGAGGGGGUGAUCGGCCACACUGGAACUGAGACACGGUCCAGACUCCUACGGGAAGCAGCAGUAGGGAAUCUUCCGCAAUGGGCGAAAGCCUGACGGAGCAACGCCGCGUGAGUGAUGAAGGUCUUCGGAUCGUAAAACUCUGUUAUUAGGGAAGAACAAAUGUGUAAGUAACUAUGCACGUCUUGACGGUACCUAAUCAGAAAGCCACGGCUAACUACGUG